rnacentral:rRNA from 1 species
GAUGAACGCUGGCGGCGUGCCUAAUACAUGCAAGUCGAGCGAACAGACGAGGAGCUUGCUCCUUUGACGUUAGCGGCGGACGGGUGAGUAACACGUGGAUAACCUACCUAUAAGACUGGGAUAACUUCGGGAAACCGGAGCUAAUACCGGAUAACAUGUUGAACCGCAUGGUUCAACAGUGAAAGACGGUCUUGCUAUCACUUAUUGAUGGAUCCGCGCCGCAUUAGCUAGUUGGUAAGGUAACGGCUUACCAAGGCAACGAUGCGUAGCCGACCUGAGAGGGUGAUCGGCCACACUGGAACUGAGACACGGUCCAGACUCCUACGGGAGGCAGCAGUAGGGAAUCUUCCGCAAUGGGCGAAAGCCUGACGGAGCAACGCCGCGUGAGUGAAGAAGGUCUUCGGAUCGUAAAACUCUGUUAUUAGGGAAGAACAAAUGUGUAAGUAACUAUGCACGUCUUGACGGUACCUAAUCAGAAAGCCACGGCUAACUACGUG